AUAAUAAUAAAUAAGAUUGAUUUGAAUUAUUUAUUAUAUAGAUUUAAAGGGAUAAUCAUGGAUAUUAAUGUUUAUUAUAAAAAUAAAUAACUAUUAGUAGUAAAUAGGUUACUAAUUAAUUAUAUAGAUUAUAUAAUUAUAAUACCUAAGGUAAACCAUGUAUAUAUUAAUAAUAAAAAAUUAUUAAUAUAAAUAUAUAAAACUAAGUGAAUUGAAAUAUCUUAGUAACUUAAGGAAAAUAAAUCAACAGAGAUAUUAUGAGUAUUGAUGAGAGAAAAUAAUAUAGUCAUGUUAAUUUUAGAUAUAUAUAUAUAUAUGUAUUUAGAAUUAAUUUAAUAAGUAUUAUGUAUUAAUAAUAUGUAAGAACAUUGAAUUACAAAUUCAAAGACUAAAUACUAUUAAUAAGUGUAAAAAGUACCGUGAGGGAAAUAUAGUAAAUGGUUAUUUCAUAAGCAAUCAUAGAUAAUAUAUAUAUUAUUAAUGAUGUACCUUUUGUAUAAUGGGUCAGCAAGUUAUUAAUAUUAGCAAAAAUUAAUAAUUUAUAAAUAAUAUAAUAAAAAUAAAAUAUAUAUAUAAUAAUAUAUUAAAGUUAAUAUUAAUAGACCCGAAAGCAAAUGAUCUUUCUAUGACAAGAUGUUAACGAUCGAAUAGGUUGAUGUUGCAAUAUCAUCUAAUUAGUUGUGGAAUGUUAUGAAAGAUAAAUCUGAUUUGCAGAUAGCUGGUUUUCUAUGAAAUAUAUAUUAGUAUAGCUCUUAUAAAAAUAAUUUAAUUAAUAAUGAUUAUAUAAAAUAAAAAGUAUAUAAUUAUUAUAGAAUGGUACAGCAAUGAAUAUAUAUUAGGGAAUUAUAAUAAUUUUAUUAAUAAUAUUUAAUCUCGGAAUAUUUAAUUAAAUAAUAAUAAGAAGUCAGAUUAUGUGCGAUAAGGUAAAUAAUCAAAAGGGAAACAGCCCAGAUUAAUAUAUAAAGUUCCAAAUUAUAAAAAAAUAAUUAUUAUAUAAAAAAAGUAUAAUAAUAUAUAUAUAUUAAUAAUAAUUAAUUUAUUAUUAAUAAUAAUAAGUGAAAAUAAUAUUAAAAUAUUAUAAUAUAAUCAGUUAAUGGGUUUGACAAUAACCAUUUUUUAAUGAACAUGUAACAAUGCACUGAUUAAAUGUAAUAUAAAUUAUAUUAUAUAUUUCAUAUAUUAAUUAAUAUUAAUAUAUGAAUAAUAAAAAUAAUAUUUCAAAUCAUAAUAUAUAUAUAUCUAUAAUAUAUAUAUAUAUUAUGUUAAUAGAUAAUAUACGGAUCUUAUUAUAUAAUUAUAAAACUGAAUAUUUAAAUAUUAUUAUUAAAAAAAAUAUAAUAAUAAUAUGGUAAUAGAACAUCUAAUGACAAAGAUAUAAAUUUAUUAAAUUAAUAUUAAAAAUAAUUAGAUAGAGAAUGCUGACAUGAGUAACGUUAAAGAGGUUUAAGCCUUUUCACCUAAAGCAUAAGGUUUUAUUAUAAAAGUACGGCCCCUAAUUUAAUUAAGAAUAAUAAAUAUAUUAAAGAUGGGUAAAUUCUAAUAAUUAAUGAAAUUAAUUAUUAUUAAUUAAAUUAAUAAAAAUUUAUUAAUAAAUUAAUAAACUAAUAAUAAAUCAGGAAAUAAUUAAUUAUAAAAUACCGUAAUGUAGACCGACUCUGGUAUGUUAGUAGAGAAUAUGAAGGUGUAUUAAAUAAUACGGGAUAAGGAACUCGGCAAAAAUAGCUCAUACGUUAGACAAAAAAGAGAUAUAAAAACAAGGUUGUACAACUGUUUACUAAAAACACAGCACUUUGCAAAAAUCUAAAUUAUAGUAUAAAGUGUGAACUCUGCUCCAUGCUUAACAACUAAAAUAAAUAUUUAAACGAAUAUUUAUCUAAUUUUAAGUAAAUAGCAGCCUUAUUUUGAGGGUUAUAAUGUAGCGAAAUUCCUAGGCCUAUAAUUGAGGUCCCGCAUGAAUGACGUAAUGAUACAACAACUGUCUCGUCCCGUAGUUAAGUGAAAUUGAAAUCGCAGUGAAGAUGCUGUGUAAGUGUAGCUAGACAAAAAGACCCUAUGCAGCUUUACUGUAAUUAGACAGACCGUAUUAUUAUUUAUUUUAUUCAGUAAUAUUAAGCUAUUAUAAUAAUAAUAAUCGAUUAGAUAUAAAUGAGAAACUUAUUAAAAUAAUAUAAUAAUACUUAUCUUAAUAUUAAAUAUAUAUUUAAUAGAUAAUAAAUAAUUCUUAAAUAUAAUAUAUAAUAAUUAUAUAUAUAUAUAUAUAUAUAUAAUUAUUUAUAUAUAGAAGAGACAAUCUCUAAUUGGUAGUUUUGAUGGGGCGUCAUUUUCAGCAAAAGUAUCUGAAAAGUUCAUAUAUAUUUUAUAAAAUUAUAAUAAAUAUAAUAUAUAAUAAAUAUAUUAAUUAUAAAUAAGAAUAUAUCUUAUUUAUCUAUUAUAUAUAAUAAUAAUAAUAGAUUAUAAAGAUAUAUUUUAGUAAUAGAUAAAAAAAAGUAUAGUAAAAUUGUUCUGAAAACAAUAAUAUAUAUAUUUAUUUAAAUAUAAAUAUAAUUAAAAUAAUAUAAUGGUAUAACUAUGCUAUAAUUAUAACACAGACGAGUGAAAUAAGUACGUAAGUAUGACAUAAUGAACAAAUAAUACUUAUUGUAAGGAUUAUUGAUAACGGAUAAAAGUUACGCUAGGGAUAACAGAGUAAUAUAACGAAAGAGUAGAAAUUGUAAGUUAUGUUUGCUACCUCGAUGUCGACUCUACUUUUCCUCUUGGUUGCAAAAGCUAAGAAGGGUUUGACUGUUCGUCAAUUAAAAAGUAACGUGAGUUGGGUUAAAUACGACGUGAGUCAGUAUGGUUUUUAUCUGCUACACUAAAUAUUAUCAUAUUAAGUCUCAUUAUUAGUACGCAAGGAUCAUAAUGAAUUAACCUAUGGUGUAUAUAUUGAUUAUUAUAAUAUAUAUAUAUUAUUAAUUAAUUUAUUAUAUAUAUAUAUAUUCUAUAUUAGUUUAUAUAAUAAUAAUAAUCAUUGUAUAGAAGCUAAGUUAAUAAAUAAUAAAUAUUGAAAACAUAUCAAAUAUGAAGUAGUCUUAAAACGAUAAUAAACUGAUAAUCUUAUACUAAGAUAUAUAGGUUAUAUAUAUUAUAUAUAUAAUACUAAUUAAUCAGUUAUCUAU
rnacentral:rRNA from 1 species